rnacentral:sRNA from 1 species
AAACAAAUCCGGCAAAUUCACACACGUGUCGGCACGUUGUCCCAGGGUGCCUCCCUUCAGUUAGAUGAAGGCGGGUUGGGGCAAUCGGACGCGUGGAGGUCUAAC